UACGUAGGUGGCAAGCGUUAUCCGGAAUUAUUGGGCGUAAAGCGCGCGCAGGCGGUUUCUUAAGUCUGAUGUGAAAGCCCACGGCUCAACCGUGGAGGGUCAUUGGAAACUGGGGAACUUGAGUGCAGAAGAGAAGAGUGGAAUUCCACGUGUAGCGGUGAAAUGCGUAGAGAUGUGGAGGAACACCAGUGGCGAAGGCGACUCUUUGGCCUGUAACUGACGCUGAGGCGCGAAAGCGUGGGGAGCAAACAGG
rnacentral:rRNA from 1 species